GACGAACCGUGCGAACGUUGUUCGGAAUCACUGGGCUUAAAGGGCGCGUAGGCGGGUGACCAAGUCCGGGGUGAAAUCUUUCGGCUCAACCGGAAAAUAGCCUCGGAUACUGGUCGUCUGGAGGGAGGUAGGGGCAUGUGGAACUUCCGGUGGAGCGGUGAAAUGUGUUGAUAUCGGAAGGAACGCCGGUGGCGAAAGCGACGUGCUGGACCUCUUCUGACGCUGAGGCGCGAAAGCUAGGGGAGCGAACGGG
rnacentral:rRNA from 1 species